UUGGAGCGGUGCACUGGAGAAAAAGAUGCGAGCGAAGCCAUUUGGUCCGUUAUGUCCAGAAGUUAAAACCCGAGCAAGGACAAUCUUUGCUGAGUCUUGUUGGGGUCCAUGAUCUUGUGACGCU